rnacentral:rRNA from 1 species
UCAAGCUAAAAAGAGCGCAGGGUGGAUGCCUUGGCACUAAGAGCCGAUGAAAGACGUGAUAAGCUGCGAUAAGCUACGGGGAGGAGCACAUAUCCAUUGAUCCGUAGAUUUCUGAAUGGGGAAACCCGGCUGAGCAUACCUCAGUCACCGUACACUGAAUCCAUAGGUGUACGGAGGGAACCCGGUGAACUGAAACAUCUAAGUAGCCGGAGGAAGAGAAAGAAAACUCGAUUUUCAAAGUAGCGGCGAGCGAAAUGGAAAGAGCCCAAACCGGAGUGCGUGCACUCCGGGGUUCGGACUGCAUUUAUGACUUCUGACUGUAGCGGAACGGUUCUGGAAAGACCGGCCAGAGAGGGUGAGAGCCCCGUAGGCGAAACGGAAAGAAGCAGAGCAGGAUCCAGAGUACCACGAGACACGAGAAACCUUGUGGGAAUGAGCGGGGACCACCCCGUAAGGCUAAAUACUCCUUAGUGACCGAUAGAGCAGAGUACUGUGAAGGAAAGGUGAAAAGGACCCCGGGAGGGGAGUGAAAGAGAACCUGAAACCCUGUGUUUACAAACUGUGGAAGUACCAUAUGAGUACAACCGCGUACUUUUUGUAGAACGGUCCGGCGAGUUACGUUUACUGGCGAGGUUAAGCACUUAAGGUGCGGAGCCGAAGGGAUACCAAGUCUUAACAGGGCGUUAAGUCAGUGUACGUAGACCCGAAACCGGGUGAUCUACCCAUGUCCAGGCUGAAGUUGCCGUAAAAGGCAAUGGAGGGCCGAACGCACAUCCGUUGAAAAGGGUGGCGAUGAGGUGUGGGUAGGGGAGAAAUUCCAAUCGAACCCGGAGAUAGCUGGUUCUCCUCGAAAUAGCUUUAGGGCUAGCCUCGUGUUAACCUUGUGGAGGUAGAGCACUGAAUAUCCUAGGGGGCGUCAAAGUCUACCGAAGAUUAUCAAACUCCGAAUGCCAUAGAGGUGAUGCACGGGAGUCAGACUGCACGAGAUAAGUUGGGUGGUCAAAAGGGAAAGAGCCCAGACCUACAGCUAAGGUCCCAAAGUGCGUGUUAAGUGGAAAAGGAUGUGGGAUUUCGAAGACAACUAGGAUGUUGGCUCAGAAGCAGCCAUACAUUCAAAGAGUGCGUAAUAGCUCACUAGUCGAGAGGUCCUGCGCCGAAAAUGUCCGGGGCUGAAACACGACACCGAAGCUUAGGACUCCUUUUAGGAGUGGUAGAGGAGCAUUGUUAGCGCAGCGAAGCUGUACCGAUAAGGAGCAGUGGAGUGCUAAGAAGAGAGAAUGCCGGAAUGAGUAGCGAGAGGAAGGUGAGAAUCCUUCCGGCCGAAUAUCCAAGGUUUCCAGAGUAAAGCUGAUCUGCUCUGGGUAAGUCGGGGCCUAAGGCGAGGUCGAAAGACGUAGUCGAUGGAUAACAGGUGGAGAUUCCUGUACUAUGUGUACCCAGAACUGUGGGGACGCAUGUGGAGAGCAUGAGCCGGGAAAGAGAAAACCGGUACAAGCGGGGUAGGAGUAAGGACAGCAAAUCUUCCUUACAAUCCGAAGACGUGAUGUGGACCGAACCAAAGUAGGGAAGCAUGUGAGCCAUGUGCCAAGAAAAGCCGCUAUUGUGAUACACAUACCCGUACCGUAAACCGACACAGGUGGAUGAGGAGAGAAUCCUAAGGCCGACGGAAGAAGCAUUGUUAAGGAACUCGGCAAAAUGACCCCGUAACUUCGGGAGAAGGGGUGCCCUGUGAAAGCAGGGCCGCAGAGAAUAGGCUCAAGCAACUGUUUAGCAAAAACACAGGUCUAUGCGAAACCGAAAGGUGAGGUAUAUGGGCUGACGCCUGCCCGGUGCUGGAAGGUUAAGAGGAGAAGUCAGGCAACGAAGCUUCGAAUUUAAGCCCCAGUAAACGGCGGCCGUAACUAUAACGGUCCUAAGGUAGCGAAAUUCCUUGUCGGGUAAGUUCCGACCCGCACGAAAGGCGUAAUGAUUUGAGCACUGUCUCGACAAUGCAUCCGGUGAAAUUGAAGUACCAGUGAAGAUGCUGGUUACCUGCGCCAGGACGGAAAGACCCCAUGGAGCUUUACUCCAGCUUGAUACUGGGA